GCCAGGGUGGCAGAGUGGACCAAUGCGGUGGCCUCGAGAGCCACUGUCCCGUCCGGGACGCUUGGGUUCGAAUCCCAACCCUGGCGCCA
rnacentral:tRNA from 1 species